UACAGAGGUGGCAAGCGUUGUUCGGAAUUACUGGGCGUAAAGGGCGCGUAGGCGGCCUUGUAAGUCUCGUGUGAAAGCCCUCGGCUUAACUGAGGAUCUGCACGGGAUACUGCGAGGCUUGAGUUCGGGAGAGGAAAGCGGAAUUCCGGGUGUAGCGGUGAAAUGCGUAGAUAUCCGGAGGAACACCGGUGGCGAAGGCGGCUUCCUGGACCGACACUGACGCUGAGGCGCGAAAGCUAGGGGAGCAAACGGG
rnacentral:rRNA from 1 species